rnacentral:rRNA from 1 species
UACGUAGGGUGCGAGCGUUACUCGGAAUUACUGGGCGUAAAGCGUGCGCAGGCGGUUCGCCAAGUCAGGUGUGAAAUCCCCGGGCUUAACCUGGGAAUUGCGCUUGAAACUAGCGGGCUUGAGUGUGGCAGAGGGGGGUGGAAUUCCACGUGUAGCAGUGAAAUGCGUAGAGAUGUGGAGGAACACCGAUGGCGAAGGCAGCCCCCUGGGUCAACACUGACGCUCAUGCACGAAAGCAUGGGGAGCAAAAGGG